rfam:Felis catus isolate Cinnamon breed Abyssinian chromosome C2, whole genome shotgun sequence.
CCAAAGCCUCUUUUCAGAGCCAUAAAUAAAACAAAAGAAAAAUGA